UUUUGCGACGAGACGUAUAGGAAUCUUCCACAAUGGACGAAAGUCUGAUGGAGCAACGCCGCGUGAGUGAUGAAGGUUUUCGGAUCGUAAAACUCUGUUGUUAAAGAAGAACAAGUGUUAGAGUAACUGUUAACACUUUGACGGUAUUUAACCAGAAAGCCACGGCUAACUACGUGCCAGCAGCCGCGGUAAUACGUAGGUGGCAAGCGUUGUCCGGAUUUAUUGGGCGUAAAGCGAGCGCAGGCGGUUUUGUAAGUCUGCUGUGAAAGCCCUCAGCUCAACUGAGGAAGUGCAGUGGAAACUACAAAACUUGAGUACAGAAGAGGAAAGUGGAACUCCAUGUGUAGCGGUGAAAUGCGUAGAUAUAUGGAAGAACACCAGUGGCGAAGGCGGCUUUCUGGUCUGUUACUGACGCUGAGGCUCGAAAGCAUGGGUAGCGAACAGGAUUAGAUACCCUGGUAGUCCAUGCCGUAAACGAUGAAUACUAGGUGUUGGAGGGUUUCCGCCCUUCAGUGCCGCAGCUAACGCAUUAAGUAUUCCGCCUGGGGAGUACGACCGCAAGGUUGAAACUCAAAGGAAUUGACGGGGGCCCGCACAAGUGGUGGAGCAUGUGGUUUAAUUCGAUGCUACGCGAAGAACCUUACCAGCUCUUGACAUCUUCUGCCAACCCAAGAGAUUGGGCGUUCCCUUCGGGGACAGAAUGACAGGUGGUGCAUGGUGUCGUCCAGCCUUCCGUUUA
rnacentral:rRNA from 2 species